UGUGAUGCCUGAAUUAACUAUUUUUAGGCCAUAAUCCUGUCACCUUAGGUCGAUCGGUACCUCUAUUUAAAUAAAUACUUCUAAGAAAUUAGCUUUUAUUUUUUAAAUUCAGUUCCUAAACUUUGUCUAGGUCACACCCAGCAAUGGUUCUCCUGGGCCAUUAGCUCAGGUGGUUAGAGCGCACCCCUGAUAAGGGUGAGGUCCCUGGUUCAAGUCCAGGAUGGCCCAUUCGGUGUUGGGGGUAUAGCUCAGUUGGUAGAGCGCCUGCUUUGCAAGCAGGAUGUCAGCGGUUCGAGUCCGCUUACCUCCACUGAUCAUCCUUCUGAUAGCGAAGUUUAAGGAGUUUAUUGCUGAGUGAUCUAGAAUUUGUUCAUUAUGAAUUAGCGAACCUAGCUUCUUGUUAUUCCUAUUUAAGACUUAAUUAAAAUAGGUUGAUAAGACGCUGGGCUCACUGCAAUGACAAUUGCAGCUUAGUUCGGUAGAACCUUGACAACUGCAUAGGUGAGUCUGGAAAGAAUAAAGCAUCUCAUGGAUGCAUUAUCUUCUAAUUUUUAUUAGUUUUUCUUUUGAGAAACUAAUAUUUUAAGGAAGAAAAUGUUUGAUUCUUGAGCAAGAGCCGAGACUCUAUGACG
rnacentral:tRNA from 1 species